GUAGGGUAAAGGCCUACCAAGGCGACGAUCCGUAACUGGCCUGAGAGGAUGAUCAGUCACACUGGAACUGAGACACGGUCCAGACUCCCACGGGAGGCAGCAGUGGGGAAUAUUGGACAAUGGGGGCAACCCUGAUCCAGCCAUGCCGCGUGUGUGAAGAAGGCCUUCGGGUUGUAAAGCACUUUAAGUUGGGAGGAAAGGGUGCUGGCUAAUAUCCAGUAUCUGUGACGUUACCAACAGAAUAAGCACCGGCUAACUCCGUGCCAGCAGCCGCGGUAAUACGGAGGGUGCAAGCGUUAAUCGGAAUUACUGGGCGUAAAGCGCGCGUAGGCGGCUAGUUAAGCUAGAUGUGAAAUCCCUGGGCUCAACCUGGGCACUGCAUUUAGAACUGACUGGCUAGAGUGCAGAAGAGGAGUGUGGAAUUUCCGGUGUA
rnacentral:rRNA from 1 species